GCAAUCGACCAUAGGAUGUAUUCGGAAAACAGGGCUUCCCGUCCGCUCAGCCGUACUGAAACCACAUGCCGGCCAGCUAGUAUUGACGUGGGUGACCAGUCAAGAAUCCUGGCUGUCGAUUGUU
rnacentral:rRNA from 1 species